CCCCCUUCUCUCAGAAGUGUGCACUCGUAGAGAAUCGGACUGCAGCUACUUCUGUAGCCUGGUGUCCUUGAUCAACCAUAUUUAAACUAUUCGGUAUCACCAAAAGAACGUUUCCAGUCAACAGAGUCGUACCCAAGUGGCACAGCGGUCUAAGUUCCCCAGGCUUUGGGCUGACCCUGGUGGCAGAGACCUGUUCCUCAGUGCAGAGCAGUUGUCCACCCCCCUGGGGCAGGGAGACCCCGUGCUGCCAGAGGACCUGAGAUGGAACUGUGCCAAACUGCUGUUGGAGGAGAUCUACAAGGUUCAGGGUCGUUUUGAGACUGAAAAUCCCUAUACGGAUUGACCAACUAGGGUUUGCAUGCCCUUCCGAAGGAUCCUACCAAGCGGAAUAGGUGGUUGGUGUUCGUUGGUCCCCAGUGCAGUGGUGGCCCUCCCAGCCAACACCACCUCAUCAGAUUUCCUGUUGCAGUUGUUGGAGACAUGUCCAGAUGGCAGCAGAACAUGCAGCAUAGUGAAGACUUUCAUCAGUAUCAUACAGACUUG
rnacentral:lncRNA from 1 species